GUCAUAUCGUCUAUCACGCGGUGGCGCCGUGGCGGCGGACUCGAGCGCGGCCACCUCCCUGACCAUCUGAUGCUCCUCCGCCUGCAGGCGCUGGAUGUACUCGAUCGUGUCCUUGAUGAUCGAUGCCUUGUCCAUCUGCAUUGACAAGAGCACCGACGAUGCGUGCGACCUGUCCGGCGAACCGAUGCGUGCAACCUGUCCAGCGAGCUGGAGUAGUAGUUGGUGAGGGAAAGAAAGAGAAAGAAGAGAAGGAAGAGAAAUACAAAUAGA
rnacentral:lncRNA from 1 species